GGAAAGCAGGGGAUCGCAAGACCUUGCGCUCUUGGAGCGGCCGAUGUCUGAUUAGCUAGUUGGUGAGGUAAAGGCUUACCAAGGCGACGAUCAGUAGCUGGUCUGAGAGGACGACCAGCCACACUGGGACUGAGACACGGCCCAGACUCCUACGGGAGGCAGCAGUGGGGAAUUUUGGACAAUGGGGGAAACCCUGAUCCAGCCAUGCCGCGUGAGUGAAGAAGGCCUUUGGGUUGUAAAGCUCUUUCAGCCGGAACGAAACGGUCACGGCUAAUACCUGUGAUCACUGACGGUACCGGAAGAAGAAGCACCGGCUAACUACGUGCCAGCAGCCGCGGUAAUACGUAGGGUGCAAGCGUUAAUCGGAAUUACUGGGCGUAAAGCGUGCGCAGGCGGUUUUGUAAGUCAGAUGUGAAAUCCCCGGGCUUAACCUGGGAACUGCGUUUGAAACUACAAGGCUAG
rnacentral:rRNA from 1 species